GAUGAACGCUGGCGGCGUGCCUAAUACAUGCAAGUCGAGCGAACAGACGAGGAGCUUGCUCCUCUGACGUUAGCGGCGGACGGGUGAGUAACACGUGGAUAACCUACCUAUAAGACUGGGAUAACUUCGGGAAACCGGAGCUAAUACCGGAUAAUAUAUUGAACCGCAUGGUUCAAUAGUGAAAGACGGUUUUGCUGUCACUUAUAGAUGGAUCCGCGCCGCAUUAGUUAGUUGGUAAGGUAACGGCUUACCAAGGCGACGAUGCGUAGCUGACCUGAGAGGGUGAUCAGCCACACUGGAACUGAGACACGGUCCAGACUCCUACGGGAGGCAGCAGUAGGGAAUCUUCCGCAAUGGGCGAAAGCCUGACGGAGCAACGCCGCGUGAGUGAUGAAGGUCUUCGGAUCGUAAAACUCUGUUAUUAGGGAAGAACAAAUGUGUAAGUAACUAUGCACGUCUUGACGGUACCUAAUCAGAAAGCCACGGCUAACUACGUG
rnacentral:rRNA from 1 species